AAUUAAAAGACAAUCAGUGCUGAGAACACCUUACUGGCUGAAACUAGUGCCAAAGUAAUCACCUAAUACACAACCCCCAGAAGCAUUAUGCUCACAGAUCCUGAUGUUCCCCUUCUGUGUUUUCGUUGGAGCUGUGCAGUUAUGUCUUCAAUCAAAUGGAAAUAUGCUAACAACUGUCAUAAUUUCCACCUCAGAGGCUCCAGACAUGACAUACCUAUAAACGUAGUAUCAAGGAUGGUGGCUGGUGUGUGAAUGCUUUCAGAAGAAACACAGAAGAGAAAUCAAACCCAAAUGCCAUUCUUAGCACAUUACGAUGGGUGAGUCUCUCAAAUUGCUUCUGUUAAUUAUUCAUUAGAGGAACACACACACACACACUAAACCACUUAACUAUUUGAGGGUUCAUGUUACCUAGUUUAAAUCUGUAUCUGUCAAGUGUCUCACAGCAUGUUGGACAAAGCAGAGCUCAAAUAGUCUGCUAUAUUGUGUAACCUUACUUCCAGAAAUAAAAGAAAAGAUAGGCCACACACCAAGUAAUUGUGUGGACCUUUGAGGUCUGCCAUGUAUUAAUGAUAACUAGUUCUUCUGUGUUGAAGUCAUUGGCACUAUGCUAGGCACUCUGGAAGGAUACACAGUCAUUGGAUUUUUGUUCUCUAUCUCAAUUAUUUUAAAAUGUUAAUAGCAAGGAAAAACAUGCACAUGUGACAUUAGAAAAAAAUUAGAGACCAAAGGAGUGAGAGAGGAGACUAUCAGGGCAGUUUUCCUGAAAGACCUGUAGGUGGGCGUGCAUCAUCAGGCAUGGAUAAAAGCUUAGAGGGUGUAGUGGUGGCAGUGAGCAUGGGCUCUUUAGUGGGCAGCUGGCCUGAUUGAAUUGAGGACUAUGUGUAAGAAUCUUAUAGGUAAGGUAAAUAUAUAGCAUAUAUAUCAUAUAUGGUAUUAUCCAUUUGCUCAGAAUGUCCUUAGUCAAAUUCCAUUUCAGAGGCCUGAAACCCUGCAAUACUCACAGUAUAGUAAGUUUUUCUUCUCUAAUAUGAGAUUAGCAAAUUGUACUUCAAGCCAGUCUCAUCUGUGUGCUUGGUUUUCAGAAAAAUUAAUUUUGUAUCAUUGUUGCAAUUGGAAUAUAUAAUAUUCAUAAAGUGUCAUGCAAACUCUUUGUCCAAAAAUGGGACCAAACUACUUGUUUAAUUAAUGUGAAAGAUCAGGGAAGGAACUGCUGCUUAAAAAUAUUCCAUAUAAGAUUAUUGCGUUUGCUUGAUGCCAUCUCUGCUUAUCAUUUCUAAGGAGAUUAUAAAGAGUUCAUUUCUCCUACCUCAAUGAAGCAAUCAACUGAAGGCAAGCGUAGCCUACUCUCAAAGAGUUGGAGUAUCUAGUUAUUCUUGAACAUAUGAGAAAAUUGAUCAUCUUUAAAGCCCAGAGUCCAAUAUAGUGCUCUAAUGCCUAAAAAUCUUCAAAUGAUUUGACGAUGGGAUAACACUGGUCUCAGAUUUGUUCAAUUUCUAAAAAUACAGCUUCGUUGCCUGUUUUCCCCAGUGAGAAUUAGAGGUCAAGCUUAGAGAAGAGUUACUCCUAAUUUUGAUAGUGGUAUAAUUCAUAAUUCACAUGCAUUUCA
ensembl:lncRNA